UUGGUGAGGUAAUGGCUCACCAAGGCGACGACGGGUAGCCGGCCUGAGAGGGCGACCGGCCACACUGGGACUGAGACACGGCCCAGACUCCUACGGGAGGCAGCAGUGGGGAAUAUUGCACAAUGGGCGAAAGCCUGAUGCAGCGACGCCGCGUGAGGGAUGACGGCCUUCGGGUUGUAAACCUCUUUCAGCAGGGAAGAAGCGAAAGUGACGGUACCUGCAGAAGAAGCGCCGGCUAACUACGUGCCAGCAGCCGCGGUAAUACGUAGGGCGCAAGCGUUGUCCGGAAUUAUUGGGCGUAAAGAGCUCGUAGGCGGUCUGUCGCGUCGGAUGUGAAAGCCCGGGGCUUAACCCCGGGUCUGCAUUCGAUACGGGCAGACUAGAGUGUGGUAGGGGAGAUCGGAAUUCCUGGUGUAGCGGUGAAAUGCGCAGAUAUCAGGAGGAACACCGGUGGCGAAGGCGGAUCUCUGGGCCAUUACUGACGCUGAGGAGCGAAAGCGUGGGGAGCGAACAGGAUUAGAUACCCUGGUAGUCCACGCCGUAAACGUUGGGCGCUAGGUGUGGGUCCCUUCCACGGGGUCUGUGCCGCAGCUAACGCAUUAAGCGCCCCGCCUGGGGAGUACGG
rnacentral:rRNA from 1 species